UUGAAUAACUUCUUGGUUGUUGAAAUUUUAAACAACAAUAACAACGCGAUCGCUAAACUAUUGAUAAACAUCAAUAUCGAGUGUGCACUGGUUGACCCUCGCUCUGAACACACAGACAACAAGAUUAAGUCCACUGCAGAUAGCCUGAUAUCACCUUGUGUGCUUGUUCUGACCACCUGACCCGGUUUAUGUCCAAGUUGCGUCUAAUAUGCUGUAAUUGACCAGAUAGUUGAGAUUGUGCGUAGCAUAGCCCCAGCGCAGCUGCUGAUUGAUGGGCAGACAAUAAUAGUUCCCCACAGAUUUUGGGGCAUCUUGGCAGAUGAGACUUCGGCUUGCAAAGGGAAAUACCUGAAAGCCGUAUAUUUAAUAUGCCCUGAAAGCAAUUUAUGGUUCACAUAUGACAAGCGGUUUUGACAACGAGCGAAGGCUAAUUAUACGCGAUGCAGACACAGGAUUGCAAUUGCAGUUGUAGCAAUUAGUAUUUAAGCCAUGAGAGAGAGAGAGAGAGAGUGAGAGAGAGAAAGAGGAAGCAAAUAACCAUUUGCAGCUCAUCUCGAAUUCGUUUUCGAGCAAAUCGCUUGUGAGCCAAAUUGAUGAAAUUGUCUAUUUAUUCACACGUCGUUUAUUUUCACGUUGACACUGGCAGCGCCGAGCAAAGGGCAAUGGGCAGCGACAGGCAACAAAAUGGCUGCCGUUGCACUUGAUAACGAUAACGAUAACAAUGACGAUAACGACGAUAAUAAUGAUGAUGAUGAUGCUGAUGAUGAUGCUGAUGAUGAUGCUGAUGAUGUUGUUGUUGUCGACAGUGGCUUACUGAUAGGCUAGAACAAUGGCAGCAGAAUACUCGGCAAUAACAAUAACAGAACGUUUACCAUUCAAACGGAAUGAGACAAUCUAGUAGCCAAUUUAGUCGUAAUGGCAACAAAAUGUCACUUGAGUCUCUCUGCUGCAACAUUGCAAACAGCAAUAAGAGCUAAAAGCCAUAGGCAAGGCAACACAAGAGAUAGACAACAGACAUUCAGACAGAGAGACACUGAGUUAGAAUGAGAGCGAGCUAGCAAUGAGCUUUGCUGGGCAAUGCAAACAUUUUUUUCCAGCUCGUUGCCAUUUCAUUUUCUGCCCUCUGUUUGUUUGUGGGUAUGCGUGUGUGUGUGUGUGUCCAAGUUUUUUGUGACAUGCCUAAGCACUGAUGGCAACAACAACAACAAAACUACAACAACAUCAAAAUACAGGACACGUUGAUGUGCGUGUUGACAUAAAGUUUUCGCCUUUCAUCAUCCUUGUCCCGGCGCUCCGUAAACUUUGCCAGCCCGGCGGCCCUCUGUCAACAAAUUUUGCAGAAGCAGCCCCGACCAGGCGAUCCUACAAUUUUGGUCAUUAACAGAUGGGUCUAAGCGAACCGAGAGUACAGCUCUGAUUUAAAAUCAAUGCAAAAAUAAAACUUAUCCAAGCGUGACUGUAAGGUAGGCCCACACAAUGACUGUCAACGUGCCGUAUAAUCGAUUAAAUUAGCAGCGACAGGCAUUAACAAAGUAGUCUAGACGACAGUGCUCGACUGAGAGUUACCCUGUACACAGCGCUGAGUUGCCAGCUCCUAGGAUGAGUUUUAGUUGAUUCAGAUGGAAGUUUCUUUUAGAUUCGAAUCUGUUCGUAUCGUAUCUUCGUAUCUGUAUAUCUUGAUCAGCGGCAGACCUUUUUAUGAACUCGGCUGUUAAUCAAGAGCAUAUAUACAUUAUUUAAUCGAAGCUGCUUUCCUUUUCCCGUUACACACAAUCGCAGAAAAGCAUUAUAUCCUUUGCUUUAGAGUAUAACAAUAUGUUUAAUGUGGUUAGCGUCAAAAAGUUGAGAAUCGUUUGCUGUGCGGUGUGCCCCGGCAAAUUGAGGCUAAGGCCAAAACAAAUUUCAACAACUUUUGGGCUGGUAAAGUAAUUUAUUAUUGCUGUUGUUGAUGCAGCAGCUGCGGCUGGCGUUUCUAUGUGUGUGCCACGCUCACGGGCACUGGCACGGGCACAAGCACAGGCACUGACGCUUCAUUUUGGUUGCAACGCGCUUUACGCCAAAGUGGAUAGGUGCAGAAAUUGCAGCUCAAAAUGGAGGCUAAAUCAUUUUGCCCUCCACACUUUGGCGUCUGCUAUUCUGUUUGUGUGUAUAAACGGUAUACUGGCUGUCAUAAAAAACAUUGGCUAACAAUUUACCUUCUGUUAGAACUAUUAAGCAUAAAAAGCAAUUGAGUAAACUAUUCCUCUCUUUGUUUAAAGUAAAUAUCAUUAUGUAUAAAUUAUGCUUGAUCAUGUAUAAAAUAUGCUUAAUAAGUGUCCUUAGGAAAUACAAAAUUAAUUAUUCAAAA